rnacentral:rRNA from 1 species
CCGGCGCACGGGUGAGUAACGCGUAUGCAACCUGCCCGUUUCAGCGGGAUAACCCGGAGAAAUCCGGCCUAAUACCGCAUGUGGCCGAGGGGAGGCAUCUUCUUUUCGGCCAAAGGAGGCAACUCCGGAGACGGAUGGGCAUGCGUGACAUUAGCUUGUUGGCGGGGUAACGGCCCACCAAGGCGACGAUGUCUAGGGGUUCUGAGAGGAAGGUCCCCCACACUGGUACUGAGACACGGACCAGACUCCUACGGGAGGCAGCAG